rnacentral:rRNA from 1 species
AAAUUGAAGAGUUUGAUCAUGGCUCAGAUUGAACGCUGGCGGCAGGCCUAACACAUGCAAGUCGAGCGGUAGCACAGAGAGCUUGCUCUCGGGUGACGAGCGGCGGACGGGUGAGUAAUGUCUGGGAAACUGCCUGAUGGAGGGGGAUAACUACUGGAAACGGUAGCUAAUACCGCAUAACGUCGCAAGACCAAAGUGGGGGACCUUCGGGCCUCAUGCCAUCAGAUGUGCCCAGAUGGGAUUAGCUAGUAGGUGGGGUAAUGGCUCACCUAGGCGACGAUCCCUAGCUGGUCUGAGAGGAUGACCAGCCACACUGGAACUGAGACACGGUCCAGACUCCUACGGGAGGCAGCAGUGGGGAAUAUUGCACAAUGGGCGCAAGCCUGAUGCAGCCAUGCCGCGUGUGUGAAGAAGGCCUUCGGGUUGUAAAGCACUUUCAGCGGGGAGGAAGGCGUUAAGGUUAAUAACCUUGGCGAUUGACGUUACCCGCAGAAGAAGCACCGGCUAACUCCGUGCCAGCAGCCGCGGUAAUACGGAGGGUGCAAGCGUUAAUCGGAAUUACUGGGCGUAAAGCGCACGCAGGCGGUCUGUCAAGUCGGAUGUGAAAUCCCCGGGCUCAACCUGGGAACUGCAUUCGAAACUGGCAGGCUAGAGUCUUGUAGAGGGGGGUAGAAUUCCAGGUGUAGCGGUGAAAUGCGUAGAGAUCUGGAGGAAUACCGGUGGCGAAGGCGGCCCCCUGGACAAAGACUGACGCUCAGGUGCGAAAGCGUGGGGAGCAAACAGGAUUAGAUACCCUGGUAGUCCACGCCGUAAACGAUGUCGAUUUGGAGGUUGUGCCCUUGAGGCGUGGCUUCCGGAGCUAACGCGUUAAAUCGACCGCCUGGGGAGUACGGCCGCAAGGUUAAAACUCAAAUGAAUUGACGGGGGCCCGCACAAGCGGUGGAGCAUGUGGUUUAAUUCGAUGCAACGCGAAGAACCUUACCUGGUCUUGACAUCCACAGAACUUUCCAGAGAUGGAUUGGUGCCUUCGGGAACUGUGAGACAGGUGCUGCAUGGCUGUCGUCAGCUCGUGUUGUGAAAUGUUGGGUUAAGUCCCGCAACGAGCGCAACCCUUAUCCUUUGUUGCCAGCGGU